rnacentral:rRNA from 1 species
AGCAGCCGCGGUAAUUCCAGCUCCAAUAGCGUAUAUUAAAGUUGUUGCAGUUAAAAAGCUCGUAGUUGAAUUUCGGGGUUAGUAGGUUGGUCAUGCCUCUGGUAUGUACUGGUCUCACUGAUUCCUCCUUCCUGAUGAGCCGUAAUGCCAUUAAUUUGGUGUUGCGGGGAAUUUGGACUGUUACUUUGAAAAAAUUAGAGUGUUUAAAGCAAGCUAACGCUUGAAUACAUUAGCAUGGAAUAAUGAAAUAGGACGUUCGAUCCUAUUUUGUUGGUUUCUAGGAUUGACGUAAUGAUUAAUAGGGAUAGUUGGGGCAUUAGUAUUCAAUUGUCAGAGGUGAAAUUCUUGGAUUUAUUGAAGACUAACUACUGCGAAAGCAUUUGCCAAGGAUGUUUUCAUUAAUCAAGAACGAAAGUUAGGGGAUCGAAGACGAUCAGAUACCGUCGUAGUCUUAACCAUAAACUAUGCCGACUAGGGAUCGGAUGAUGUUAAUUUUUUAAUGACUCAUUCGGCGCCUUACG